GCAAAAAAAAAUUAUCAUCGACAACCAAGUGACUGAGUGGGGGUAUGGGCAAGCACACGAUUCGCAUCCUUGCACUAGCAGCCCUAGUGUGUCUACAUCUCCUAUGCUCUGCUACUAUUGCUCAAUGUAAGGCAGCUAGCACACCAAUAUUUCUGUAUCUUCACAACACUUAUUUUUUCUUCACUUCCCCUGGCUGGAAGUAUGUACGUCAUAUAGCUAGUGAAGGCCUUUCUAGCUAUUUUGCUUCUUGUCUAAUUUGUUGGGUCAUUUAUUUAUACCAAUGAUCGUUCGUUUGUUAUUAUUCCAUAAUAUACAGGCCGAACCAUGGCUGACACGGAUAGCGAGAAGAUCGAUUUACCACACGGGUUAUGCGUUGAAGUAGCUUAUGAAGAUUGUAGGUCAAGAAGUGGUUGCUUCCAUUGUUUAGUAACUGAUGUCUUCUACCCCACUAUGGAUGACUGUACGAGCAAGUGUAACACAUCAUCGUCUUCACAAGACAUUCUAGUGGCCAUGACUACGUCCCCUCCUCCUCCUUUACCCGCUCCUUAAUUUUUCAGCCUAGAUAGUCAAAUUGGCUUACAUAUGUACAAGAUUGUCCCCGAAAAAUAAUGUCUGAUGUGCGGAAAUGCAGUUAUGCAAUAAGAGUGAUGCUCUAGCAGUUGUUUAGUAGUUUCGUUCGGUUAAUUGCAUUUGAACUUCUAUUAGUAAUUGUUGGGAAUCGGGAGAGCGACGAAAUGAG
rnacentral:lncRNA from 1 species